UAAGAGUUAUCAUAAUGUAUUGAGGAUGAAUCAUUGCUCUUCUAUUGUUGUUCAUUUCUAAUUAGAUGCUGUAUAUCACCCUUGGUUUAAAUGUGCAGUUCCCUGCGGAAUCUCAUGCCCCAGAUUGAGAGCAUAUUUGGUCUAAUCCAGCUCCCUUUGAAAUCUAUGAGUGGAAAACCACACGAUCAGCUUGCAAAGCCGGCAUGCCAUAGAAAGAGAGGCAGAUGCUACAGGAAUAAAAGGAAAAGAAACCUGACAUGGAUGCAAAAACGAGGUCUGAAUUCCCCAGUGAGAAUAAUGAGAGGGAAUGCUGGGAGAGAAGAAUGCAAUUGUAUUAGGCUCCAUCACAAUGGGAGAAUCAUAGAGUCGUAGAAUCGUAGAGUUGGAAGGAUUUGUUCCUGCAGAUGUAGUGGAGCAAAAAACAACAACAACUUCUCAAAACACACUUGACACUUUUUAAAGGAGUCCUUUCACACUUCACAACAUGGGAAUGUGGCGCAAAUUAUUUUUUAUUUUCUUUAUUAAAUGUCUGUACCGCCCUUCAUCCAAGGAUCACAGGGCGGUUCAUAAUAUAAAAUGAAUCAGCUGAAGCAAUCUGGUUCCUGCCUGUGUGUUUGCACUGCGUCACGCCUUGUCCUCAUGGUAAGCAGCAACAAUUCACCCACCAGGAGGUCAGGUAAGUGCCUCCAUCCCACCAUCCUCUCUGCUGCUAGCUGUGGUGUCAUCCUAGAAAUUCUAUUGCUUGUUACACUGUAGUAUUUUUGACACAGCUGGUGGUACCUACAACGUUUUGCUGUAGAUGAGUUCCCCAAAUCAACCAUGAAUGCAGAAAGAACUGCGGUGCCGUAAAACAAACGGCAAGAGCCAUACUAAGAAAUUGCAUUUUCCUGCAGCAGUGCCACUGUAAAUUCUUUUAUCAGUUCCCCUGUUAAUUAGAAUUGCUGUGUGUUGUCUAACAAUAGAAGAUUUCAUUAUGCCUUCUUCAGUAAUUAUAUAUUUUAACUAUAAAGUAUAGCCUAUAAAUAUCAGACAAAAACAAGCACCACCACCUUCUUUGGGUACAGUUAAGGUUGUAAAUAGACAUCCCUUUAGAACAAAACUACACGGUGUGAAAAACUGAAGCCAGCUACCAGCUUUGGCUACUGAGGUGAAGUUUAAAAGUUAUCCUUACUACAUUGUGAUGUGCUGGUAUAGGAAAUGAGCUGUAAUGUUGGUUGGCACAUGUUUUGUUUGCCCUAGGUGAGUCUUCUGUAAUGUACUUUCCUUCCCUGUUGUUAGUGACUUUCUUUAGAAACCCCCCUGGGAUAGAUAUCACAUCAACAAUACUUAGCAAUAAAAUGGAAGUCAAGGCUUCUGUUUCUGUAGAGCAGAGGUACGGUCCAGAUAUUGUUGGACUCCAACUCCCAUCAGCCUCAGUCUGCAUGGCCAUUGGUCAUGGACAGAGACAAUGGUAAUUGUUGUCCAACCCCCAGAGGGUUCCAUAGUGGUUACCCCGGCCAUAGUGUCUGCCCUUUACAAAUAUGGCCACUCUGUUCUGGCAGAGUCCCUCUGUGCCAGUACCUUGACUGAAACCAUAGAGAAGAAGAAAGCUAGACUGUCUCCACAUUACCAGCGGCGGAGGAAGCGGCUUGGGUGCCUGGGGCAGCACGCCCAGGAGCAGAGCGAGCCACCCAUAGGGCCGGGGCCUCCUUCCACUCAGCCUGCCUCCUCCCACUCAGCCGCCCUACAGCUGGGGGGGAGGGGA